ensembl:lncRNA
CUAGUACAGGAGAGACUUUUCAAUAAUUAAAAAGCAGAGGUGUAUAUAUCGGUAUCGGCAUCGGCAAUCGGCCAAAAUGAGCUUGUAAAUAUCGGCAUAUCGGAUAUCGGCUAGAAUUCAAUAUCGUGCAUCCCUACUUUGACAUAUGACAAUAGACAUAUGGAAAUGCACUGAGUAGAUCAAAUUCGUUUUUUUUUUUUUUUUUAAGUAAGCAUAGAAUGCACAGGAAUCUUUCAGCUGAGAUUUGAUCCCUGGCCGAAGGAAUAUAAAUCCUUUUUUUCACCAAUAUAGUUUUAAUUAGAAACGGUCCGAUUCUCUGAUUUAAUUGUGUAAUAAUCAGUCUAAUUUGACAGUGAAUCCCUAGCUCCGUCUGUGGUUUAAUAUGUUAUGGAAACACUUGCCCAUGCUUGUAUCACUACUCCUCUGGAUUACUGUAAGUGUAAAUAAGAGAAAUACUAACAGAGAAGUUUGUAUUGUGGAUGAAGGCUGAAACAGCACAGUUCGUCGAGGUCACAUGACCAUUUUAGUCAGACAGUUCUGCAUUGGUGGUUCAGUGGUAGAAUUCUCGCCUGCCACGCGGGAGGCCCGGGUUCGAUUCCCGGCCAAUGCAAUCCAAAUCUUUUAUCUAGAUUAUUAUCUAGUUUUAUGGUAAGCAAGCUGAAGAUUAGUGCAGUUGUCGUGUACUGAUCACUUUGACAUAUGACAAUAGACAUAUGGAAAUGCACAGAGUAGAUCAAAUUCUUUUUUUUUUUUUUUUAAGUAAGCAUAGAAUGCACAGGAAUCUUUCAGCUGAGAUUUGAUUCUUGGCCGAAGGAAUGUAAAUCCUUUUUUUCACCAAUAUAGUUUUAAUUAGAAGCGGUCUGAUUUAAUUGUGUAAUAAUCAAUCUAAUUUGACAGUGAAUCUCCGUCUGUGGUUCAGUAUGUUAUGGAAACACUUGAUUUAUUCCACACUCGAUUACAAUUACUUCAACUCCGGUUUCUUCUGUUGACCAGGCAUUCACGUUGGCCGUCAGUUGCACCUGGACAAGAUACAUUUCAAGUGGCCCCCUCUCCACCGAAGCUUUGUGGUUGUUCGCAUCGGUGUCUCCUUCGUCCUGGUGUUGGUGCCUUGCGGAGCGGGGACUGGCUCUAAAGUUCUCCUGGUGGUGGCCUCUCCUUGCCGGCAGACAGGCGUCUCCGGGUCCUGGGGCGGCUCCAGUGCAGCAGCCAUCCCACCGUCUUCUCACUGCGCCGACCACUGGGUGCCCACUCCAUCCACUGCUGCUGACUGUCACUCCUGGGCUAGGGGUGUGGAGAAGUGUCAUAGCAGGUGCCUUGGAGUGAUGCUUUUUAGAUGCUCCCCCAGCUCCAGCUAUUUUGGCCGCCCUCCCCAUACCUGAGCGUGGUCAUCUUUACAGCAACCGAC